AUCCAGAGGAACUAAACUUUGCAAAAAAAACAGGCUUUCAACCGCAUUAGUCAUGAAAUGAUGCUACUAGGCAAGUUGUGCUUCUGCCACAACACCCACAGGGAGAAAACCACCACUGUAGGAUGGGCUGAGCAUGCAUGUGUAUGAAGAGAUCUGGAGAUAUAGCUGUCAGCUAACAGCUAUCUUAUGUGUAUAACCAGUUUUACAUAGUUUUAUCAGAUAUGAGAAAACUUAAGAAAAGGCGGAAGGCACUAACAUUGAAAAGCCUAAUCUGUCAGUAAAGACUUUAACCAUCUUCUGUGUGAAGAGGAGACAAGGAAGUUGAAAUAAGUGGGAACCUACCCCUGCGAUUUCCUGGUCGGCCGCGGUUCUCUGUUUGAACGAUGCUGUGUUCAACACCGCACAACACUGUAUCUCUCCUAUAUUGAUACAUCAUGGAGAGGACAUGUCAGCCACAGCUUUUUGCCAUGUUUUUUUUAUACUGGAUUACUCCUUUAAAAUGUUAGUGUCAUUAGUAAGAAAAUUGAAAAAAUGCUCAAGUCAGUGUAGUAAUGUGCCCUAAGACCUGUAUGCAUAAUAAUAUGCAUGUUUUUAUAUGUAAAAUACCUUUUGAUCCAUGUCUUACUAUGCUCACCCAUUUUGCACUACUCCUGGAGGCUGGGGGUGUUUCUUCAGAUCCAUGCUUACUCCUUUCUUGCCCCCUCCCUCUUGUAUUGAGGUCUGCACAAACAUUUUUACACAUGCAAAGCUUUGAGCCUAAAGUGUAUGCUUUUUAUAAGCCUAAUGCAGCCAUGUGAGCCUAAUGUUACAAAUAUGCAAGAAAAACCUUCUUUUGAAUACAGUUCUGGCUUUGGCUCAAAAACUGCAGUGGCAAAA